GAUGAAGAACGCAGCGAAAUGCGAUAAGUAAUGUGAAUUGCAGAAUUCAGUGAAUCAUCGAAUCUUUGAACGCACAUUGCGCCCCUUGGUAUUCCGAGGGGCAUGCCUGUUCGAGCGUCAUUAUACAAUCUCUCAAGCUUGGCUUGGUGUUGGGUCUUCGUCUCCUUGUCCCUGCCGCCCAAGUGGGUGCGGAGGACUCGGACGUACCUGAAAAUUAGUGGCGGUGCUCAUGAUGGUCUCAAGCGUAGCAGACUCUCUCUCGCUUUGGAUGGCCUGUCAUGUAGCUCACCAGCCUUGCAUGCAUCUUCAACUAAGGUUUGACCUCGGAUCAGGUAGGGAUACCCGCUGAACUUAAGCAUAUCAAUAAGCGGAGGA
rnacentral:misc_RNA from 1 species